ACGAACGCUGGCGGCGUGCUUAACACAUGCAAGUCGAGCGGAAAAGGCCCCUUCGGGGUACUCGAGCGGCGAAACGGGUGAGUAACACGUGAGUAAACCUGGCCCUGGACUUUGGGAAUAACCCUCGGAAACGGGGGCUAAUACCGGAUAUGACAUGCGCUCGCAUGGGUGUGUGUGGAAAGAUUUUUUGGUCUGGGAUGGGCUCGCGGCCCUAUCAGGCUUGUUGGUGGGUGAUGGCCUACCAAGGCGACGACGGGUAGCCGGCCUGAGAGGGGCGACCGGCCACAACUGGGACUGAGACACGGCCCAGGAACUUCCUACGGGAGGCAGCAGUGGGGAAUAUUGCACAAUGGGCGGAAGCCUGAUGCAGCGACGCCGCGUGAAGGGAUGACGGCCCUUCGGGUUGUAAACCUCUCUCAGCAGGGGACGAAGCGGGAGUGACGGUACCUGCAGAAGGAAAGCGCCGGCCAACUACGUGCCAGCAGCCGCGGUAAGACGUAAGGGCCGCGGAGGCGUUGUUCCGGAUUUUAUUGGGCGUAAAAGAGCUCGUAGGCGGGCUUGUCGGCGUCGUCCGUGAAAACUUGGGCUCAACCCCAAAGCUUGCGGUCGAUACGAGCAGGCUGGAGUUCGGUUGUAGGGGAGACUGGAAUUCCUGGUGUAGCGGGUUGAAAUGCGCAGAUAUCAGGAGGAAACACCGGUGGCGAAGGCCGGGUCUCUGGGCCGAUAACUGACGGCUGAGGGAGCGAAAAGCGUGGGGAGGCGAACAGGAUUAGAUACCCUGGUAGUCCACGCUGUAAACGUUGGGCGCUAGGUGUGGGGGGGCCCUCUCCGGUUCUCUGUGCCGCAGCUAACGCAUUUAAAGCGCCCCGCCUGGGGAGUUACGGCCCGCAAGGCCUAAAACUCAAAGGAAUUGAACGGGGGCCCAGCAACAAGCGGGCGGAGCAUGCGGAUAUUAAUUCGAUGCAACGCGAAGAAACCUUACCUGGGGUUUGACAUCACUCGAAAACUCGCAGAGAAUGCGGGGGUCCUUCGGGGCGGGUGACAGGUGGUUGCAUGGCUGUCGUCAGCCCGUUGUUCGUGAGAUGUUUGGGUUAAGUCCCGCAACGAGCGCAACCCUCGUCCCAUGUUGCCAGCAAUUCGGUUGGGGACUCAUGGGAGACUGCCGGGGGUCAACUCGGAGGAAGGUGGGGGAUGACGUCAAGUCAUCAUGCCCCUUAUGUCCAAGGGCUUCACGCAUGCUACAAUGGCCCGGUACAAACCGUUGCGAGCCCGUGAGGGGGAGCGAAUCGGAAAAAGCCGGUCUCAAGUUCGGAUCGGGGUCUGCAACUCGACCCCGUGAAGUCGGAGUCGCUAGUAUAUCGCAGAUCAGCAACGCUGCGGUGAAUACGUUCCCGGGCCCUUGUACACACCGCCCGUCAACGUCACGAAAAGUCGGCAACACCCGAAGAGCCGGUGGCCUAACCCCGUAAGGGGAGGGAGCCGUCGAAGGUGGGGCUGGCGAUUGGGGACG
rnacentral:rRNA from 1 species